UCUCUGGUCGCAGUGAUGAGUCCACACAGAGAAAAAAAAAGCUGUCUGUAACUACAUUGUCAAUAUGAUUUGUAAACGAAAGUUGUCGGUCAAAUGUGACGCCUAGGUCGCGAACUUUUUCUUUACGUGGUAACCCAGUUCCAUUGGAAUGAUAUUUAAACUCGAUAGGAGAUAUUUUACGAGAAAAUGUCAUAACUGAACAUUUUUCAGCGUUAACGUUUAGACCACUAUCCGAGCAGAAUUGUCCAAAACUUUGCAAGUCCAGUUGUAAUUUAAGACAAUCGUCAUUUGUUUUGACGGGCAAGAAAAUUCUCACAUCAUCAGCAUAAAUCAGAAUCAUAGCAUUAGUCAAUUUGUCUGGGAGCUUGUUCAUCACGAGUACGAAUAACAGUGGUCCUAAGUGGCUAGAGAAUAAACUCGCAAAGAUUCGUGGUAACGGAUUUCUUCUUUAAAAAUCCGUGUUGCACAGAAGAAAUGCGUUCAGCGACUACCUCGUAAAGAGAAUCGUACACUAGCCGUUCGAAAAGCUUAGGAGUAGCAGAUUGGAUUGUUAUACCACGAUAAUUCUCUACAUACGAGCGAGAUCCUUUUUUAUGAACAGGUGUGAAGUGAGAAAUUUUCCAAAUUAAAGGAAAGUAACCGGAAGCCAGUGACGCGUUGAACAAACUGGAGCGACUAAAAGCUCACCUUGGAACUGUUUGAGGAGGCUGUUAGAGAGAGUGUCAGGGCCAGGCGACGAGUUUGUGUCAAGUUUGUGGAUUCCAUUUUUGACAUCAGUUUCAGAUACUUGAAAUACUUCCAAGCCACUUUCGAAACAAGGUAUACGCACAGUUGAAGGCUGCUCUGCAAAGACACUACGGAAAUGUUUGGCGAAAAGGCCAGUCGACGAUUGAGUAUCUGUAGCGGUUGCGCCUCUGUACCUCAUAUUUUCUGGGAUCCCAGAAUGUUUCCUUCGAUUAUUUACGAUGUUCCAGAAGGUUUUAGGAUUAUUUUUCAAAUCAUGCUGUAUUUUAUUCAAUUCCUCUUGUGUGCAGCUUUGAACAUACGCAGCAGUUGUUUAUAGAGAGUUACAUUUUCGUUUGAUCUCGCACGACGCAUUUUCUUCAAAGCAGCUCUUUUGCUCUUCAUAAGCUCUAUCAGCGCUGGAGAAAACCAUUCGGGAUAUUUGUAUCAUACUUAACACGUUUCAUAAUCACAGAAGUAUGACGGGAAAGAAUACCAAAUACUGUGAAAUAAAACAGUAAGGUAUUGAAAUCCACCCAGUUAUUAACUUUUGCGAUAUCGCCAACGUCAACGUCAAAAACGCCAAUUGAUCGAAGAAAAUAAACCAUUUCUAUCGCCUGCGUCUGGUAUACCUCGACAUUACAAAUAAACAUUGCUUCCGAUAUAAAAAUGUUAUUCCAGUCAGGCUUUCACGCACGCUCGCGACAUUUAAUGCUUCCAAGUUCAAACACUUUUUGAGCACCACUGGUUUAUACUUAUCUGAUUCAUCUGCCCUAAUGGUUAAUAACAUCGCAUUGUGAUGAAUUUCAUUUUUAAUCACUGGAUCCGUCAAAGCCAAUUGACAACUAACUGUGUCAGUAGUGAACACCAAAUCGAGAAAACAAUUAUUUUGAUUUGGUAAACUACACACUUGCAGCAGUUCAACAGAAAGAAAACUGUCAACAACAGCUAUCUCGGCCUGAGAGUUGAUUCGGUUUGGUAAGUAAAAAGUAUUAUUUGAAUCAAAAUGUAUCUAAUUCCAAUUCAAAUUCGGCAGGUUCAAAUCACCGACUACAACCACGUCAUCAUUUGGUCCUAUACAUUCUGCAAUUGAUUCAACGAACGAGCAGAAAGAGCGAUAACGAUGAACACUAGAGCCACUGCGUGUUCUGUGCUGGCAAUAUGAUUGUGGACUGCAAUCAAAACACCACCGCCGGAUUUUUUAACGCUAUUAGAGAUGUUUCUAUCGCAGCGAUAUACGGUAAAGUGCGGAGGAAAAAAUGACCUAUCUAUUACAGUUGAAUCAAGGUUUUUGAGCAGUCAACAAAGUUGUAGAAGCCAAUGAGCACGAAGUUGAAACUGGCGCAGGUGUUUGAUUAUUACUGCGUACUGGCAAGCGGUGUAAGAAAGUUGUCAGAAGUGGCCUCACUACCCUUACAUUCGGCUCGAAAUGGCAUCGACAUAGGUUCAUUCACAAAUUCCCGAAAAUAAAUACCUUUUUGCCAGCUCGAGGGCUGCAUCGCCUUUUCUUUAUAUUGCGAAUCGAUUCCCACUUUGAACGAGACAAACGUCAUCCGAUUUAAAUCGGCAUCUCUACGGACCAGUUUCACAACGUCUAUAGGGCCUUCGAGUGAACUAACGUAGAAAUUUCAUCCACAGUGGCUUGUGGUGAGAAUCUAGAUAGGAACAGCCAGAAUUUUUUUACUCGAGGGACAAUGGGUAUAACCGGGAUAGACAAACCGUGUGCUGGCUCUUGAUCCCCGCAAAGCAUUUUAGGAGCAUUAUACUCAUCGUGUGGAGGGUCCACCAAAAUACGGGGUCGUUUCGAUGGCCGUCCCUCAGUUCCUGAUAUUGAUUUCAGGGUUGAAGGUGUUAUGAGAAUCUUUCGUGUAAUUCUGGUAAUCAUGUUUGCAUUGCUUCUAAUUUCACUCUUUAACUCUUCAAACAACUGAUUUUGUUGAUUCAACAAAGCAUUAAGUGCAUCAUUAGCGUUACUCAGAGCCUCACGAAAAGUGACAUUGCUCAUGAGUUUUCGGCAAGCCUGACACAUCCAAAAAAUCGCGGCACUUGAUUUUACCUCUGCCCAUAUUGCGGAAUUGAGCCUCGAACAUCCGACGUGGAAGAUAGACUUACAGAAACCUUGACAGGUAACAAAAUCAGUGUCAGACAGGAUAACAUUAGCACAAGCGUUGCAAAGAUGCUCCAUUGUAAAACUCAUUUUCACAGUUUUUAAUCACACCUGUGGUUGUACUUCGACUAAUCGUUAUCGUAGACACUAUUAAACAAGUUCCAACACUAUCAAAAGUUACGAAAACACUGUUUAUAUCACUAAAAAUCUCAAAAAACUGCGGAGGUCGUUUCCUAUACGGGUUUGUUUGUAAACAACAAAGUUAGUAGCUUAAGUAUUUAUGAUAAAUAUUAGUAAAUAAUGAGUAUGUGUGUCCAAUCACAAAUGGUGACUUCUCAACACUGUUAGGAAAAUUGUAAUUUUAACUCUUAGGAUUUGUUUGCUUUCGCAAUUAGGACUUAUCACUCGUAGGGAUUUAAACUUACUUGUCAAAAAAGGGAAGUUAACUUACAACUAACUUAAUUGCUAACUUAUUGGCUAUCAGAAGAGCUUAUCGUAGCAAUUGAGGAUUGCAACGAUUUUUGUCGAUAAUUGUUAAUUAUUUUGUUUGACAUAGCUUCUAGUGUUUCAACACCAGUAAGUCUAUGUAACUCGGGUGUACUUGACUGAUCGGUACAGCAGAAAGCAUUUCUGGUCUAAAAAUUUGUUUGUAAAUCAAAAGUUUAUUCUUUAAACAAAGUUUAGAAUUCCUGUUAAUGAGAGGAUAUAAAAAUCUCGUAUAUUUAAUGCACUCUCAAUGUGCUCUUUGAAUAUAAGUUUUGAUCGUAAAUUACUCCAAAGUAGUUAACCUUGUCAGACCAACUUAAAAUAACCCCAUUCAUUAGCUUAGCUUAGCUUAGGUAGACUGCCCGUAGUUGCACUCCGUGAUUGGUCGAAUCAACGAAAUUGCAAUAUGAACCAAAUAAAUGGCGCUUGGGACUAGCAUUACAUUAUCAUUGUGUAAUUUUCACUGGUUUACAAUACUUUUAUCACUGACCAAUAACGACACCGGCCACGACCAAAAGGUGGUACUACUUCGGAAGGAAAGGGAUGGUGAUACUCGUUUUGUUUAGAGACCGCGGGUACCACUGCAUCUCUACGAGUAUCACGGGAUAGGAAAUGUAUUAAAACACAGCUCUGGUAACUUUCUGGUAAAUGAUGCUAUAU